rnacentral:misc_RNA from 1 species
GUGUGCCAAGCUAUGUCAGCUGAUCCGUCAGCUGUAGUGUUCACUUGAUCAUGAAUAACCCGUUUCUCCUGGCAUUAUACACACAUGUAGUUGCUUGUAGUGUGAGCUUGGUACCAGAGGUGAGUCAGGAGGGACUCCUUCAGCCAUACACCACCUAUGCUGAUGUUACCCUCUUCCAUUUUCACAUUCCUGAUGAGGUGACCAGAGUAACAUGGGAAUUUGCUGCCUUUAUGGAUGACCCGGGGUGCCCUGUUCGAGAGGUUCAUGUACUUGUUCAGCAUGGGAGUUAUCCAGUUGUUACCAAAAAUAAUGCAACUCUGCAAGACUAUAUGUACACUCAGCGAUCAGCAGUGCACAAGAUCAGCACAAAGUCAGCAUUUCAACCCCAUGAUGCAACUGUCCUACCUGUUUAUAACCCAUUGCCAGGAAGCUGGUUUGCUGCUGCUUAUAUACCGGAUUGGAAUGAGCAGAUGCAACAAGAGGGCAUUAUACACAAGUGCCGUUACAGUCUGGGAUCUAUUGCAAUGUGGAGUCAGAAGGAUCACAUUCAAACUCUAAACAUAGGAAUAAAACAGUCAGUUAGAACUCAUGAAAACCUUUCAUAUUAUAGGUUCUAUGUUCCUUCUCACACCUGGUUUUUGCAAGUCAAUGUCUCUAACUGCCAUAUACUUGAACAAAUUAUUAACCAGGAUACAGGAGAGCGGCUUUUUAGAUGGUGCAUUCGAUCCCUUGCCUUUAAUGCCAGGUCUCUUCCAGCAUAUAACCCAGAUGUUGGGGUAGCCAAUAUAACACAAGGAGACAGUCAUGUUUUUACUGAAUUGAGGCCAUAUUCUGAUGGCUAUUAUUAUCUCUUGGUUGUAACUGAAGGAGAGACUGGCAUAGAUAUUACUGUUCGCACAAAAGAAUGUGGUAGUGCCUUCAAAAAGCUUUGGCCUCAUAUCCGAGAUGUAAAAGCAUCUGAAUAUACUGAAGUAUCUUCUAAACAAGAGAUGGAGUUUGUUGGGACGGCCACACCUAUAAAUAUUACUGUAUCGGUUUCAACUAGUGAAGAUUAUGGUAACUCCCAGCAUGAAUCAUCAAAGAUGUUGGACUGGGAAGAAAUGUGGCCUAAUAUAACAAAUGAAUCUCCACUUGUUUUGUCUCACUUACCUGAUGAGUCUCCUCCUAUACUGGAUGCUGACUUUGCUGCCGUGGGUCAUCAGUGUUACCCUGUGUUGCCUCUGGCUCGCAUCAAGCAUGCCAGUGAUUUUACUGACACCUUUUUAAUACAGGGGCCAGAUUGGUACAGUACAUGGUUGUCAGUACAGAGAGACUUGCCGGUCUUCACGUAUCUUACACUCCUGCCCUUUACAGACAUUGGUGGAACUUUGAGUGUAAACAUACUCUUGGACGAGUUACUGAUGAAUGCGACCCAUCAGCUUAUAACAGUCACAGGUUGUGUGAGAAAAGGUCGCCCUCCAGAUGUUAAAAAUGAUACACUCAUUUGUGGGGAGCCACAGCUCACCCUCAACGUCACCUCCUCCUCUAGAGCUACUGUAGAAGAUUUCAUACUCAUUCCAUUCCCAGAACCUGAUGUGUGGUUCUUGGCUCUCCAGACAAUUUGCUAUCACAAAGGGCAGAAGACUCCCUGUAUUAGAGAUCAAGUCCUGGUUAGUAUUGACAUCCGGACUCAGCCUUGUGUCUUUGCUGGUGAAAGUCCAUGUGGCAACAAUGGUUUAUGUCAAGAGACCCACCGUGGAAUGUUCUUCUUUACCAGCUGUGUUUGCACAGCAGGUUGGCGAGGAUGGGGCUGUGAAGAUGGUGGAUCUGCACAGGGCUGGACCUCUGUGCUGACUGGCUUAUGUCUCCUUACACUUAGCAAUAUUUUUUUUCUGCCCCCCAUUAUUAUUGCUGCACGUAGGCACUUAUACUCCCAGGCCCUGUUGUUUACAGCUACCAUGAUUGCUUCUAUAUUCUACCAUGCUUGUGAUAAUGAAUUGUUGGCCUUGGGGGCAUGGACGAAGCCUUUUGUCCGCUGUUUCAUACUCUUGGGGUUAUUAUUAUUGCUCCAGCCGUCCAAUACAGCCGAACAGCCCUCGCAUCAUUUACUGUACCCAUGGCUGUUGCAACUGCUGUACCUCUUUGCCACAUUGUGUACCAGCGGUGGCACAAGGGUGCCUGGCCUUCCGUUCAGCCAAGGCAGUUCUUGUACCGUGGUAUUGGUAUAAGUCUUGCUCUUAUAGGCCUUAUAAUGUUUGCCCUCAUACAAACCAAGGAUAACUAUAAAUAUGUACACAGCACCUGGCAUGUUGUCAUCGCGCUCUCUCUUGUCUUCCUGCUUCCGUCCCGCAGUCCAUCUGUCCUGGCUCACAAAGCAAAUGGCCAAGUGACUGGGCACUCUGCUUCUUUAGCCAGUGAUG